rnacentral:rRNA from 1 species
GUCAGGAUCUUGGACAAUGGGGGCAACCCUGNUCCAGCCAUGCCGCGUGGGUGAAGAAGGCCUUCGGGUUGUAAAACCCUUUCAGGUGGGAAGAUGAUGACGGUACCACCAGAAGAAGCCCCGGCUAAAUUCGUGCCAGCAGCCGCGGUAAUACGAAUGGGGCGAGCGUUGUUCGGAAUCACUGGGCNGUAAAGCNGUGCAGUAGGCNGGACNUGGCAAGUCAGAAGUGAAAGCCCAGGGCUCAACCCUGGAAUUGCUUUUGAAACUGCAAGUCUCGAGUCCGGGAGAGGCUGGCGGAAUUCCCAGUGUAGAGGUGAAAUUCGCAGAUAUUGGGAGGAACACCAGUGGCGUAAGCGGCCAGCUGGCCCGGAACUGACGCUGAGGCACGAAAGCGUGGGGAGCAAACAGGAUUAGAUACCCUGGUAGUCCACGCCGUAAACGAUGUGUGCUAGUUGUUGGGCAGCCGAGCUGUUCAGUGACGCAGUNAACGCAUUAAGUUCACCCGUCUGG